rnacentral:rRNA from 1 species
CAGCAGCCGCGGUAAUACGGAGGAUGCGAGCGUUAUCCGGAUUUAUUGGGUUUAAAGGGUGCGUAGGCGGGAUAUUAAGUCAGCGGUGAAAGUUUUCGGCUCAACCUUAAAAUUGCCGUUGAAACUGUUAUUCUUGAGUGCAGUAGAGGUAGGCGGAAUUCGUUGUGUAGCGGUGAAAUGCGUAGAUAUAACGAGGAACUCCGAUUGCGUAGGCAGCUUACUAUAUUGCUACUGACGCUGAGGCACGAAAGUGUGGGUAUCAAACAGGAUUAGAUACCCUGGUAGUCCACACAGUAAACGAUGAAUACUAGCUGUUUGCGAUAUAUUGUAAGCGGCCGAGCGAAAGCAUUAAGUAUUCCACCUGGGGAGUACGUCGGCAACGAUGAAACUCAAAGGAAUUGACGG